rnacentral:tRNA from 1 species
GGGAGUGUAGCUCAGUGGGUAGAGGAGUGCUUGNCUGGUGGGCAUGAGGCCCUGGGAUCCAUUCCCAGCACCA